rnacentral:rRNA from 1 species
GAUGAACGCUGGCGGCGUGCCUAAUACAUGCAAGUCGAGCGAACGGACGAGAAGCUUGCUUCUCUGAUGUUAGCGGCGGACGGGUGAGUAACACGUGGAUAACCUACCUAUAAGACUGGGAUAACUUCGGGAAACCGGAGCUAAUACCGGAUAAUAUUUUGAACCGCAUGGUUCAAAAGUGAAAGACGGUCUUGCUGUCACUUAUAGAUGGAUCCGCGCUGCAUUAGCUAGUUGGUAAGGUAACGGCUUACCAAGGCAACGAUGCAUAGCCGACCUGAGAGGGUGAUCGGCCACACUGGAACUGGGACACGGUCCAGACUCCUGCGGGAGGCAGCAGUAGGGAAUCUUCCGCAAUGGGCGAAAGCCUGACGGAGCAACGCCGCGUGAGUGAUGAAGGUCUUCGGAUCGUAAAACUCUGUUAUUAGGGAAGAACAUAUGUGUAAGUAACUGUGCACAUCUUGACGGUACCUAAUCAGAAAGCCACGGCUAACUACGUG